UACAGAGACUGCGAGCGUUAUUCGGAUUCACUGGGCGUAAAGGGUGCGCAGGCGGCCGUGUGUGUGAGGCGUGAAAGCCCGGGGCUUAACCCCGGAAUUGCACCUCAAACUACACGGCUAGAGCAUUGGAGAGGGUAGCAGAAUUCAUGGUGUAGCAGUGAAAUGCGUAGAUAUCAUGAGGAAUACCAGUGGCGAAGGCGGCCUUCUGGGAUGAUCCUGACGCUCAGACACGAAAGCUAGGGGAGCGAACGGG
rnacentral:rRNA from 1 species